UCAAUAAGCGGAGGAAAAGAAACUAACAAGGAUUCCCUUAGUAACUGCGAGUGAAGAGGGAAAAGCUCAAAUUUAAAAUCUGGCAGUGUCUCACUGUCCGAGUUGUAACCUAGAGAAGUGUAACCUGCGCUGGACCGUGUAUAAGUCUCCUGGAAUGGAGCGUCACAGAGGGUGAGAAUCCCGUCUUUGACAUGGACCACCAGUGCAUUGUGGUCGUGCUCUCAACGAGUCGAGUUGUUUGGGAAUGCAGCUCUAAAUGGGUGGUAAAUUCCAUCUAAGGCUAAAUAUUGGCGAGAGACCGAUAGCGAACAAGUACCGUGAGGGAAAGAUGAAAAGAACUUUGGAAAGAGAGUUAAACAGUAUGUGAAAUUGUUGAAAGGGAAACGUUUGAAGUCAGUCGCGUUGGUUGGGGAUCAGCCGGACAUUGUUGGGUUUACUUCCUGGUCGACGGGCCAACAUCAGUUUUGACUGCCAGAAAAAGGCCAAAGGAAUGUGGCACCUUUGGGUGUGUUAUAGCCCUUGGUCGUAUAUGGUGGUUGGGACUGAGGAAAGCAGCGUGCCGAAAGGCCGGGUUUCGACCACGUUCACGCUGAGGAUGUUGGCAUAAUGGCUUUAAGCGACCCGUCUUGAAACACGGA
rnacentral:rRNA from 1 species